rnacentral:tRNA from 1 species
AAGAAAGUGGCAGAAUGGUUAUGUAUCUGGCUUGAAACCAGAUUAUGGGGGUUCAAUUCCCUCCUUUCUCG